rnacentral:rRNA from 1 species
UACGGUAGGGUCCGAGCGUUGUCCGGAAUUAUUGGGCGUAAAGGGCUCGUAGGCGGUUUGUCGCGUCGGGAGUGAAAACAUCUGGCUUAACUGGGUGCUUGCUUUCGAUACGGGCAGACUGGAGGUAUGCAGGGGAGAACGGAAUUCCUGGUGUAGCGGUGAAAUGCGCAGAUAUCAGGAGGAACACCGGUGGCGAAGGCGGUCUCUGGGCCGAUACUGACGCUGAGGAGCGAAAGCGUGGGGAGCGAACAGG